CGGCACAGGAGGAAAAGGCAGCAUUUCCUCCCCCUCUCUCCUCCCAUUUUAGGUGAGAGGAGGAGGUGGCAUGGGGGAUAGAGAAAGAUCUGGCAAGCACACCAGCUGGUGCUGCGCCUGGGCCAUCAGCGCUGAGUGACGUCGCUCUGCGCCCCCACAUUGGAGGCUUCGAGCAGGAACCCAGAGGAUCAACCCAAGAGGCCGCUACGUCUGGUCUGGGAGGAUAGCCACCCCGCCUUGCUUCUGAGUUCCUGACCUUCACUUUGAGGUGCAGGGUCAAAACUGAGAGGAGACCUGGUUUCUUUUGGCUCCCUGCUGGGCAAUGUGAGAUUCAGUUAUUACUGAGCUGGCUGGGUGGGAGGGCAGGGGGAGCCCUGAGGAGCUUCUGAGUAGGUCCAGCCUAGGACGAGAGGCCUGCAAUGCCCGGGAGUCCUUGACCACUGGGCAGCAUGAGUACCUAUAAAGGGGUGAUGGGUAAAAGGUGCACUAGGUUGAUGAAUAAAGAUGUUACAAGUA
rnacentral:lncRNA from 1 species